rnacentral:rRNA from 1 species
UACGGAGGGGGCUAGCGUUGUUCGGAAUUACUGGGCGUAAAGCGCACGUAGGCGGAUUUGUAAGUCAGAGGUGAAAGCCUGGAGCUUAACUCCAGAACUGCCUUUGAUACUGCAUCGCUCGAAUCCGGGAGAGGUGAGUGGAAUUCCGAGUGUAGAGGUGAAAUUCGUAGAUAUUCGGAAGAACACCAGUGGCGAAGGCGGCUCACUGGACCGGCAUUGACGCUGAGGUGCGAAAGCGUGGGGAGCAAACAGG